rnacentral:rRNA from 1 species
GAUGAACGCUGGCGGCGUGCCUAAUACAUGCAAGUCGAGCGAACAGACGAGGAGCUUGCUCCUCUGACGUUAGCGGCGGACGGGUGAGUAACACGUGGAUAACCUACCUAUAAGACUGGGAUAACUUCGGGAAACCGGAGCUAAUACCGGAUAAUAUAUUGAACCGCAUGGUUCAAUAGUGAAAGAUGGUUUUGCUGUCACUUAUAGAUGGAUCCGCGCCGCAUUAGCUAGUUGGUAAGGUAACGGCUUACCAAGGCGACGAUGCGUAGCCGACCUGAGAGGGUGAUCAGCCACACUGGAACUGAGACACGGUCCAGACUCCUACGGGAGGCAGCAGUAGGGAAUCUUCCGCAAUGGGCGAAAGCCUGACGGAGCAACGCCGCGUGAGUGAUGAAGGUCUUCGGAUCGUAAAACUCUGUUAUUAGGGAAGAACAAAUGUGUAAGUAACUAUGCACGUCUUGACGGUACCUAAUCAGAAAGCCACGGCUAACUACGAG